GUUCCUUCCGUAGUUCUUUAUUUUACUUAAAUGAUCAUGAACCCUUUACUUAACAUAUGUCCUUUUGUACCUUAGCAAAGGGUCUCGCCACCGCGCGCAGUCCACCUCUCCCCGCAGGCAUGCCGGCCACCUCCCCACCUGACGCACAUCUUUCCCAUGGGGCCAUGGAACACGGUGAGCAGCAGUGGUACGAACCACAAAAUACUACUAUGAGAUUAGUUAAAUUCAGUGUUCUGUUGUAACUUUAAAAUUGAAAACCAAGUUUCCCUGGACAAAUAUAGUUUUUUGUGAGCUUAUUAUUGACAAUUUAUAGUAAUAUGCUAUUAUGGGCUUUGCUCCACCAUGAUAAGGAGGAAAGAACUGCAGGCUAUAUUGUUCGUUGACAUUCAUGAUCAGUUACACACCAAGCCUAUAUUUUUGCUGCUUCUACAUGUUGCUAUGAUGGUCAUUCAGCCCAUUUUCUUAUCGCAUGACCUUGAAAAAGAGCUUAUUUAGUUAAUGAUUUUCACUUACUAAAAUUCAGAUAGCUCUUGCUGUGUACGGAGCUGUUGAUUACUCAAAACAUGUUGAUGUAUUAGUUUGUUUCGGAGAUGGUUUGGCAUACUGGCGGUUUCGCUGAACUCGAGAAAGUAGCUUCACAACACAAUGUGUAGUUCAAUGUAGUUCACAACACAAAGCUAGCUCAACCACACAGGCAGAUUGAUUGAUCCCUAAUUCCUCUCCGUGGCCAUUCUUUUAUCGGUCUUUCUGAUAUCUAGAGUACUUUCAUUUAAGACCAGAACAUCAACUUGUUUUUUGUUCUUAAUUUUGUUGGCAUAAUGGUUUUAGUAGUUGUGCCAUAAACAAAAGAUAUUAGCUCUUGACACCUCUUUAUGUUUAAUUUACAGGCUGUGUCACUUGUAUUGAGCACACCAAUCUGCCUCGGUAGACGGCUGCUGAAGUUGACCCACAGGUUGGAGACAAAGAUAGUGUGACAAUUGACUGACCUUGACAUGUUUGAGAAUUAGGCAAUUGAUUGUGCCAUUUCUCUGCGCAUUGGUACUUACUUUUAAA
rnacentral:lncRNA from 1 species